UACGUAGGUGGCAAGCGUUGUCCGGAUUUAUUGGGUUUAAAGGGUGCGUAGGCGGCAUUUUAAGUCAGUGGUGAAAUACUUCAGCUUAACUGGAGAGGUGCCAUUGAUACUGGGAUGCUUGAGUACUGAUGAGGUAGGCGGAAUGGACGGUGUAGCGGUGAAAAUGCUUAGAUAUCGUCCAGAACACCGAUAGCGAAGGCAGCUUACUAAGGAGUAACUGACGCUGAGGCACGAAAGUGUGGGGAUCAAACAGG
rnacentral:rRNA from 1 species